CAAUAACGUUUCAAGCUCAGCAUUGUGUCAGUAUGAAAAUGUGGAGGUUGACCAAGAAGCUUAGACUUAGUCUCUUAUUUGAAUGCGGUGAUAACCCAGCGCGGUUUUGCUUAUCUUCCCCUGUCAGUCACUGUCCAUUUCGGAGGUGAGAUAACAAGAGUCCUCCACUGUCCCAUAAUACAUUUCAGCUUCAAACUCCAGCCCCAGUGUCUUCCUGUGAGACAGAGGACUGCUGGAGCAGGACGGAGGAGUCCGAGAGGUGUGAAUGGUGGCCACAGCAGAGCCGCUCAUGACAUAUGUAUCUUCCUCUUCCCCCUCUUCAUCAUCGAGAUCUGCCAGAGGAGCCUUCAGUGGUUCAAGCGCCUAAUUCUAUCAUGGGAGACGGAGACCAGAGCCUGUUCAGGACGGAUUGGAUUGGCAGGCCGCAGACGCUCAUUAUGGGAUGUGACUGAUCUCUGGGUGGAUGCAAGAUGAAACGCUGAUGGUCUCUCAGGCUGACCUCAUCCCUCGCUGCUGUUCCAAACUCCUGCAGUCUGAGGGAAGCUGCUCAUUUGGGUGCUGCUGUGACGUCUGCGUUUGUUCCUCUGAUGAUCUCCAGACUGCAGCUGGCCAGAGGGCUCACAGCAGACAGGGGCUGGACUCGCUCCAUACUCAACCACUAUCUUGGGCCUGCACACAGAUUUCCCCUGAACUGGCCCCUGUUCAUCAUAAUGUGUUACUAGGAACUAAUUUCAUGGAAAAGAACGAGUCUAGGAAAUAAUUGUACUUGAAAUGGAGAGUUUUAAAUUCCUGCGUGCAUGUGUACGCGUGUGUGUGCGUGCGUGCGUGCGUG